GUUCUUGUUUGGGUUUAUU
rnacentral:miRNA from 1 species